GGCAUCGUAGCCCAGCGGGAAGAGCGCGCGAUUGGCCUGGAAAGCGGCGGUUUCGGGCAGGGAGAGGUGCGCACUGUCCUUGAUGCCG
rnacentral:tRNA from 1 species